UUUUUAAAAGAGUAGUCAGAGAAGGUCUGAUCUAUCAGGUGAAGAAGUAAGCCUUCUUACACACCUCGGGAGGCAGGGACACACCUCGUAUGCUCAAGGAACAUCAAGGAAGCUAAUAUUACUGCAGUGGAAUGUAGGAGAUAAAGUCAGCCAGGAGAGAAGAGCAGUCAGAAGCUUCAACAAUAGCUGAAAACUCAAGGGACCAACUCUGAACUGUAGAAAUAAAUGGGCAUUAGGACAUGAAGUCAAGAACAGAGGAAUCUCUGAGAACAUGCAAACAAAGCCGAGUGGACUCCUGCUUCCCCUGGGAAAGGAACCUUAACUAAGGCCCCCAGAAGGACCUCCAGCUUCUGGUGGGCAGAAGGACAGAGCAAACUGAAGAUAAGAAUAGAAAAAGCUGUUGGCUGUGUUUGCCAGCCCUAAGGGAAUCGCUCGUGCACAUGUUCUUUGGAACAAUUCCAUCUGAUCCAUACACAUGUAAAAAUCAUUGCCUCCUUCACUUUUUAA